rnacentral:rRNA from 1 species
GACGAACGCUGGCGGCGUGCUUAACACAUGCAAGUCGAACGGCAAGGCCCUGCUUUUGUGGGGUUCCCGAGUGGCGAACGGGUGAGUAACACGUGAGUAACCUGCCCUUGACUUUGGGAUAACUUCAGGAAACUGGGGCUAAUACCGGAUAGGAGCCCCUGUUGCAUGGUGGGGGUUGGAUCGUUUCGGCGGUGGGGGAUGGAUGCGCGGCUUAUGAGCUUGCUGGUUGGGUAGUGGCUUACCAAGGCAUUGACCGGUAGCCGGCCUGAGAGGGUGGCCGGGCACAUGGGGACUGAGAGACGGCCCAGACUCCUACGGGAGGCAGCAGGGGGAAGUAUUGCACAGUGGGCGGAAGCCUGAUGAGGCGGCGCCGGGUGCGGGAUGACGGCCUGCUGGGUGUAAACAGCUGUCGCCUGUGACGAAGCGGGAGUGACGGUAAUGAGUAAAGAAGCACCGGCUAACUACGUG